UACGGGGGGGCAAGCGUUGUUCGGAAUUACUGGGCGUAAAGGGCUCGUAGGCGGCCAACUAAGUCAGACGUGAAAUCCCUCGGCUUAACCGGGGAACUGCAUCUGAUACUGGAUGGCUUGAGUUCGGGAGAGGGAUGCGGAAUUCCAGGUGUAGCGGUGAAAUGCGUAGAUAUCGGAAGGAACACCUGUGGCGGAAAGCGGCUCACUGGACCAUUACUGACGCUGAGGCACGGAAA
rnacentral:rRNA from 1 species